GUUUCCAGUUUCGAUUUGACUUCGAACGCGUUUGGCCGCGUCCACCGAUUAACCGAGUGUGGAGAGUUACUGACUGAGCGCGUGACUACGACUAGCAGCAGCGACUAGGGUUUCAAUCAGAGACGCCAACGCUGAGGACAAUUUGAACGUGAGCGACUACAAGGCAGACAAUAGCGUGAUUACUUAGCUAGAGCUCGGUUAGUUGAUUAGUUUAAUUAGUCGACCGGUGUGUGCGUACGCGUGGCGCCGUUACGAACGCGAUUUUUCGAUUAUUCAAUUAUAGUUUGAAUUCAUGCAGUGAAAUACAGGGACUUAAAAAUAUAUAAAAAAUAAAUUAAAAAAAAUCUAAUAUUAAAUAUCAAAUGUAAAAAAAACGUUUGACUAUAAUUUUAUCUCGAAUAACAAUUUGCCGCAUUUACAAAAGAAUCUGUAUCUCAUAAAAACUUUAAAAUCUUACUUGUAUGUCUCAAGCUGUGUACAACGAAAUCCGCAUAUUUAUAUUUACUAAGGUAGUAUGCAAUAAAAAGGAAUUCUUUGUUCCAUCCUACGAUUUAAUUAAAC